rnacentral:rRNA from 1 species
GACGGGGGGGGCAAGUGUUCUUCGGAAUGACUGGGCGUAAAGGGCGCGUAGGCGGUUUGUACAGUCAGGUGUGAAAUUCCCGGGCUCAACCUGGGGGCUGCACUUGAUACGUAUGGACUGGAGUGGGGAAGAGGGUCGUGGAAUUCCCAGUGUAGAGGUGAAAUUCGUAGAUAUUGGGAAGAACACCGGUGGCGAAGGCGGCGACCUGGUCCUUGACUGACGCUGAGGCGCGAAAGCGUGGGGAGCAAACAGG